AACUUUUAACAACGGAUCUCUUGGUUCUGGCAUCGAUGAAGAACGCAGCGAAAUGCGAUAAGUAAUGUGAAUUGCAGAAUUCAGUGAAUCAUCGAAUCUUUGAACGCACAUUGCGCUCGCCAGCAUUCUGGCGAGCAUGCCUGUUCGAGCGUCAUUUCAACCCUCAAGCACCGCUU
rnacentral:rRNA from 1 species